GUAAUUUUCUCAGACUUUAUGUUUCAGAGAAGGAGUUAAUCUUGCACUAGUGAAAGGAGUUUUCUCUAACAAUCAAAUCACAGGUCUAGUUGCUAACUCAUUUUUAUUCAAAAGUAGAAUCCUCUUCAUUCUGAGGGCUGUUUCUUCAGAAUACACUGUGUGCUCAUGAAUUGCUUUGAAAAAAUACCCAACAUCAAAGCUCUGAACAUAUCUAAUACCUUCAACAUAUGUAUAUAUAAAACAGCAUUAAAUCCAUUAACAUACAUGUAUUUAUAAGCCCAUUAGCAUGUAUUUAUGCACAUUAAAAUUGCAACACUGAAGACCAGUACAUAUUUCACAUGAAAAUAAAGUAUAUUUGUGUGUGUGUGUGUGUGUGUGUGUGUGUGUGCAGGUGUAUGUAUAUGUAUAUGUAUAUGUGUUAACAGUUUUUAGUGUUGGUCCAAAUAUACACAUAUAAAUAAGGAUACGUAUCCUUUAGUCUAGCUUUCUAAUCUUGUUGAAAAAUCUCCAUCAUCUAGGCCUACUUUCAUAUAUCUUCCUUGUAAUGUGGAAGAAAGGAUUUGGGAUUAACAGACUCUGGCUUCUUUAAAAUGAUUCGACAAUUCAAGCUGAGGUGGAUCUUCUUUGCUGCCAUAUUAUGUUUGCCUGAGUAGACUAGCUGACAUGGUUUGACAUGAUUGGCCUUGUAGAACUUUGUAUAUGUCUUUGGGAUUGGACAAACCACUAUUAAUUAGACAAAUCACUUGACUAAUAGCAUCUUACUUAUUGUGGCCUUAUAGCUUUUGGAAAAUCCUUCCUUUAGGCCAUUUCCUUGCUGUAGAGUGAGUAAUUGGCCUCCAAUUUUUCUAGCUUAUUUAAUCAAUAAACAAUCAAUUAACAUUUAUUAAGCACCUACUAUGUGCCAGACACUGUGCUAAGUGUUAGAUAUUUAAAAAAAAAAAAGGAAUUUAACAUUGAAAUGAAGCACAGUGCAUUUAAAUCACUCAGGUCACAAGGCCAAUGACACUGUGGAUAAAAUAGAUUUAGUGUUCCUAUUUUUAUACUAUUCUUUUACUUGGAAUAUUCCUCUCACACAAUCUAAUGGAAUUGAGUUCAUGGUUAGAUGCUGCUGAGGCAGAAUAAGCUGCCUAUUUUAUGUGUUGAGUUAAAAGCAUUUACACUUAAUUUUCAUCACUUUACGAACAAUGUAGUUUCAAUAACUCAACAUCCAUCUCAUGCCAUGUUUGGUUUGUUCUGUGUUUUAAAUGAUCUCUACCUUUUUGCAUUCAUGUUUCUAAAGAGGAUAUUGUGAGAUUAAUUAUAGGAUGUCUUGAAACCAAAUAGAUCAUGUCAUCUUAACGACUGCAAAUAACCAGCUGAAAAACCCUUGAGUUGUCUCCUGACCAAGGUUUUUGUUUUGAGAAAAUUGUACACAUUAGCUAGUUUGUGCCACCUUGUGGUAGGACUGAAGAAAUGAAAUCUUAUAAACUUGGGAAAGGUAAAUCUCAGACUAGUGAUUCUCCAACUUUUAGUUUCAUGGUCCCCCAUAUGGUUUUAAAAGUAAAGUUGAUACCUUUACCAUGUUAUGCUCUAUUUUUGACACGCUUUUCAUCUCUUUACUUACUUGGAAAUUUAUUUUUUCUAAAACAACAAUAAAAACAAAACACUCUUGCUAUUUUUUUUUUUUUUUUGUUGUUGUUGUUGUUGUUGCAAAAUUCUUUUAAUAUUUGUGAUGUGCCAGAGUAAAUUAUACAGCAGGGUAACCUAAUAAUUUGAUUGAGAAUAAGAUUUAGAUUAUUCAUGUGCUUUUGUAAAAGUUGUAUUUGCUAA
rnacentral:lncRNA from 1 species